UACGAAGGGAGCUAGCGUUACUCGGAAUAACUGGGCGUAAAGCGCACGUAGGCGGCUUUUUAAGUCAGGGGUGAAAUCCUGGAGCUCAACUCCAGAACUGCCUUUGAUACUGAGAGCUUGAGUCCGGGAGAGGUGAGUGGAACUGCGAGUGUAGAGGUGAAAUUCGUAGAUAUUCGCAAGAACACCAGUGGCGAAGGCGGCUCACUGGCCCGGUACUGACGCUGAGGUGCGAAAGCGUGGGGAGCAAACAGGG
rnacentral:rRNA from 1 species